CAGACCCUGCUUGAUGCUGCUGCUGCUCCUGGGUUUAUCAGUGCUGCGGCUUUGCCCAGAAAGAAUCAGCUUUAUCAAGGUUCUCUGACCUCAAAGAAAAACAGAAAUUAUGUUGAAGAUGAUAUAAGAAUUGUCCAUGGGACCUACCUUCUCAGGAUCUCAUUAAAUCAUGGUGGGUGAUUCUCCUGUUUUUGCGUAUCCUUUACAUCAUGUUUUCCAUGAAGGGCUGUAGGUGGUCUUUGGAGAAGACAUGGAAGAGGAGAGACACACAAAUGGGAACAGACUGGGAUGUUGUUCUGCACCUGGGCCAGCGUGAUUUCCUUGCAUGGGACAGACAGAUCCAGGCUUUUCUCAGCAGCUCAGAAGAGUAUAGGACCCUUACUCACUUGACUUCAUAUAAGAAGCAAAUAAAAACAAGUGAUGUGAACAACUGGAACCAUCCCAGCAGCCUAGCUCCAGCCAUCUAUUUGUAUUAAGAACUACUGCAUAUUCCUGGUGAGUUAAUGCUAAUUCAAAAGAUCCCAAGCAUUUAACUUGUGUCACUGUCUUCAUCUUUCCUUUACUGAGCAGUAAUUUCCCUUUAGUUGAGAUCCCAAAGGUUGUGUCCUCCCCCCACCAAUAUCAGCAGUCAUGGAUUCUAACCCUAAGGUCUAUUAUUCUCAAAAUGCCUUUUUUUUUUUCCCCAGCCAAAACUUCAUUUCUCCAUCACUUUCAUAAAAGAACAACUUUCUUGUACCUCCCACCUCUCUAAAAUUGUUUACUUCAGCACCCUUCUCAUUUUUCAUCCACUACUUCCACUUUCAUCCUUCACUGUAAGAUAGAUGAUAAACGGCCCAUGCAUCAGCAUGGAUUGGCUUUCAGUCCCAGUCAUGCCCACUCACUUUCUGCAUCACAGGAUUAUCUGGGAUCUGAAGAAAAGCUAGGAUCCAUCUCCCCCAGGCCAUAUUAAAGGCAGGCACACAAGAAUCCAUUUGCAGGCAUCACGCUGCGGUUCUGGCCCCAACCUGUUAUGAAUGGGAACAAGGAAGAGUCAAAGUAGAACACACAGCAAUGAAAAGAGUAAGCACUUCCCCCAGAAAUUCCUGACUUCAGGUUACGUCUCCACAAUGCACUGGGUGACUUUGCUGCAGCUUUGGCUAUGUGUGAGGGCUAGAGAAGUUCUGUCCCCUGUGCCUUUUGCUAGUCAUGUUGCCAGCAUAUUUACCCUUCUAUAAAAUGGAAUGGUACCACACUGGAUGCUGUGAGCCUUAGGUAAAUAUGACAUUUCUGAGAUCCUCAAAAGGAAAGGUAAAAUCUUCUGAAGGUGAAUUCUUCAUCACAAAAAUUUCUUUACUGAAAGGUUUAAAAAUAUUGGAAUGAACUGCCUAGGGAAGUGGCAUAGUACGUAGUGCCACGAUUUGGUUGAUAUGGUGGUGUUCAAAGACUGUACUUGAUGAUUUUGGUAGUCUUUUGCAGGCUUAAUUAUUCCAUGAUCCUAACUUGGUGUUAGCUGUGUUUUCAUUUCAUACUCUGGACCUGCACUUUCUUCCAGAAUCAGUCAUUGUGUGUAUCUGAGUAGAUACUUGGAAGCGCCUCUUCAACCAUCUAAUUUGCAUUAAAGGGCAGAUGAGAAAAUAUUGCC
ensembl:lncRNA